rnacentral:rRNA from 1 species
CAGUCGCCACGGGAAUACGGAGGGUGCAAGCGUUAAUCGGAAUUACUGGGCGUAAAGCGUGCGUAGGCGGUUCGUUAAGUCUGUUGUGAAAGCCCCGGGCUCAACCUGGGAACGGCAAUGGAUACUGGCGAGCUAGAGUGUGUCAAAGGAUGGUGGAAUUCCCGGUGUAGCGGUGAAAUGCGUAGAGAUCGAGGAGGAACAUCAGUGGCGAAGGCGGCCAUCUGGGACAACACUGACGCUGGGGCACGAAAGCGUGGGGAGCAAACAGGAUUAGAUACCCCCGUAGUCCCUGUCUCUUAUA